AUAAUUUGGAAGCGGGAAGGCUAAAAGAGGAAGGAUAACGGAGAAUUUUUUUUCGAGCGAGGAUAGCUGAAGGUGAACAACAAUGUCCGUGGUUUUCGUCUUCUUCCGUUUUUGCAGGUUCCUUCUUCUGCACACUUCAUCUCUCUCAUCAAAUAAAAUAUGCUCCCCUGUCCCCUGGCGCCGCUGAAAACGAGCAGCCCCCUCUUUCCCAUUGCCGCCGCCGCCGCCGCCGCCACCGCCACCGCUCGCCAUGGCCCCGCCGCUGAAGAAGAGCUCCCGUCAGUCCGCUCCUACCACCAUACUCGCCCUCAGCGACGACCUCCUGCGCGAGGUGCUUCUCCGCCUCCCCUCCCUCCCGAGCCUCGUCCGCGCCGCUUUCGCCUGCCCCGCUUUCCUCCGCGCCGUCCGUUCGUCCCCCUCAUUCCGCCGCCGCUUCCGCGACCUCCACUCGCCCACCAUCCUCGGCGCAUUCCUCGUCGACGACGACACCCCCAUGUCCACCUUCGCGCCCGUCCUUCUCCCCGGCCGCCGCUCCGACCCUGACCACGCCGCCGCCCUCCGCGGCCUCGAUGUCUUCCUUACCCGUCUUCCCGAUGCCAUCGACGUCAAAAAGGACGACGGCGAGGAUGCUGAAGACGAAGAAGGUGUCGAAGACGAGGACGGCCCCGUGGCCGAAUGGUCAAUGUCUGCGUGCCGCGAUGGGUACGUCCUUCUCGUCACGCCGCAAUGGAACACCAAGAAGGUGGCCGUCUACGAUCCCCUCACAGGGGCCCUGCAUCUCUUCCCCGGCCCGCCCGAUGAGGUGUUCAGCGGAGACUCCGAAUAUACUGAAGCUGAGUUCCACGUGAUCCCCUCCGAAGCCGACGACCGGUCGUUUCGCGUGCUCUGCGUCCCCAAACACGGGGGAAAGCAGAUCGCCGUCUUGUCACCGGACACCAGGGAGUGGCAGAUUUCCCCAACACCGUGGAGGCUCCAGGAUGCUGACAAUGUAGAGCUAGUCAGGAACGGGCUUGUUUACUGGGCAUGUUCAGGCCGCCAAGACUAUAUCCCUGUGCUGGACACUGCAUCAAUGCAAUUCUCUCAAGCUCACAUGCCGCCGACUGGGCAUUCGGGUGUCUUAGGGGAGACCAGGGACGGGAGGCUCUGCUUGGUUUGCGUGUCUAACCUUCUGAUUGAUGUUUUGGUCCCAAGAGCUGGUGACCACGGCGUCGAUAAAUGGAUGUGGAACAGGACAUUUCAUAUGGUGGAUGCGUUUGACGAUCUUGCUCUAAACAUGAUCGAUGAAGUUCCUUUGCUCAACGUUAGGGUCGUGGCGAUUGUCGGUGGCUUUGUGUAUUUGACUAUUUGUCAGAAAGAGCCUCCUAACUGGCUCCUAUCAUUUUGCAUUGAAACAAGGGAAAUGCAAAGGCUCUGCCGAAUCACUAGAUCCAAGUUCUACUAUCCGUACAUCAUGGCGUGGCCUCCCUCUUUGCUACGCAACAAGGCGGGAUCAGCUUAGUCCAUCACCUCUCAAAAUAAAUAAAUGACAGGCAACUAAGUUUGGCAGGAGCUACCAGAUGCGACAACCGACUUAUCCAGUUAAUGUCCGACUGAGCUGCCCGAAACUAUUAAGGCCAGAAUGAGAAGCAUAUGUUCCAUUCAAUACAUGCUGCAGAAGUUCUUUCAAGCUCCGUAGCUUGGCUGGUUAGAAACCGGAAUUGCAAGUUUACUGUAGGUGCUACAGCAUGCUGGUCUUUGUUGAUCCACAAGGAGAAUCUGAGCUAUCUUCAGCUAUAACUUGUAUCUGUUUGUGAAACUUCGUUAGAACUGUCAAGCGGCAAGCAACUAUGUAAUGAUACCAUGAUGUAAUGAAACAACGGAUGAUGAUGCUGAAGCUCUUUACUUCCUUCUAUAA